rfam:Lodderomyces elongisporus NRRL YB-4239 supercont1.1 genomic scaffold, whole genome shotgun sequence.
UAUAAUGAUGACAACGUUGUCGCCCCAAACGGAGGAUCCUUUUCAGGACGCUGACCGAUUCGAUAAAUUAGCCAAACACUGAAAAUUCUGACU